rnacentral:rRNA from 1 species
AGAGUUUGAUCCUGGCUCAGGACGAACGCUGGCGGCGCGCCUAACACAUGCAAGUCGAACGAGAUCUUCGGAUCUAGUGGCGGACGGGUGAGUAACGCGUGGGAACCUACCUUAAAGUAUGGGACAACAGUUGGAAACGACUGCUAAUACCGUAUACCUCCUUUGGGAGAAAGAUUUAUCGCUUUUUGAGGGGCCCGCGUUGGAUUAGUUAGUUGGUGGGGUAAUGGCCUACCAAGACUUCGAUCUAUAGCUGGUCUGAGAGGAUGAUCAGCCACACUGGGACUGAGACACGGCCCAGACUCCUACGGGAGGCAGCAGUGGGGAAUCUUGGACAAUGGGGGAAACCCUGAUCCAGCGACGCCGCGUGAAUGAUGAAGGCCUUAGGGUUGUAAAGUUCUUUUCUCAGGGAAGAUGACGACGGUACCUGAGGAAUAAGCACCGGCUAACUCUGUGCCAGCAGCCGCGGUAAUACAGGGG